rnacentral:rRNA from 1 species
GACGAACGCUGGCGGCGUGCUUAACACACGCAAGUCGAACGGAAAGGCCCUGCUUUUGUGGGGUGCUCGAGUGGCGAACGGGUGAGUAACACGUGAGUAACCUGCCCUUGACUUUGGGAUAACUUCAGGAAACUGGGGCUACUACCGGAUAGGAGCUCCUGCUGCAUGGUGGGGGUUGGAAAGUUUCGGCGGUUGGGGAUGGACUCGCGGCUUAUCAGCUUGUUGGUGGGGUAGUGGCUUACCAAGGCUUUGACGGGUAGCCGGCCUGAGAGGGUGACCGGCCACAUUGGGACUGAGAUACGGCCCAGACUCCUACGGGAGGCAGCAGUGGGGAAUAUUGCACAAUGGGCGGAAGCCUGAUGCAGCAACGCCGCGUGCGGGAUGACGGCCUUCGGGUUGUAAACCGCUUUCGCCUGUGACGAAGCGUGAGUGACGGUAAUGGGUAAAGAAGCACCGGCUAACUACGUG